rnacentral:lncRNA from 1 species
AUAGGAACGUAGCAAAACACAUUUUUCAGUCUAUUUCUCAAAACAUUUCACUAACAUCAAAUAACCAAUAAUUUAUUUAUUAUAUCUUUUGGAUUUGCAUUGUAUAUGGUUUUAUUCUCAUCUCGGUGUAUGUUUCCUCCCUUGGUAUUUCGAGCUUAUUUUGACAGUAGCGAGGACGGUGUUGAUAUCUCUAUUUUUAGCCUAUCAAUUUAAUAGCAUGUAAGCUUUUUUUCUAAUCAUAGAUAUCAUGGGUUGCAUGUUAGUUUCCUCGAACAUACUUUUAGAUCUCUGUCACUUAUAUAGCUCUCUACUUUGUUCGCAGCGAGUGAAAAAAAUUAUUAGUAGCUCCAUUUCAUGUUUAAGGUCUAGAAAUUCAAAUGAUCAUUUCAUUGGUGCCUCGUCUAAUGGGUUGGAGUUCAGACUUAUAUUGCUUCCAUGCUAAAAGUGAGAGUUGAAUCCAAAGGUUUAAAGGAUUUCAAGGGAUCAAAAAGCUCGAGUACCUUAUAGCUCCAUGAUUCCUUGCUCUUUUCUUUUUGUUCAAUAUUGUACAAUACUUGAUAAUUAAUAUUAUUCAAGUAUAAAAGG